rnacentral:rRNA from 1 species
UACGAAGGGGCUAGCGUUGCUCGGAAUCACUGGGCGUAAAGGGUGCGUAGGCGGGUCUUUAAGUCAGGGGUGAAAUCCUGGAGCUCAACUCCAGAACUGCCUUGAUACUGAAGAUCUUGAGUUCGGGAGAGGUGAGUGGAACUGCGAGUGUAGAGGUGAAAUUCGUAGAUAUUCGCAAGAACACCAGUGGCGAAGGCGGCUCACUGGCCCGAUACUGACGCUGAGGCACGAAAGCGUGGG